AUUCUUCCGAUGCAGGGAAGGAUGAGAAGCUUCGAUUAAGGUUCGAGUCGAGCGUCAGCGAGACAACGUUGCCGCAGGCAACGGCCCGAAGGGUGAGGAGC
rnacentral:sRNA from 1 species